CGUAGGGGGCUAGCGUUGUCCGGAAUCAUUGGGCGUAAAGCGCGCGUAGGCGGCCCGGUAAGUCCGCUCUGAAAGUCCAGGGCUCAACCCUGGAAAGCGGGUGGAUACUGCCGGGCUAGAAUCCGGAAGAGGCGAGUGGAAUUCCUGGUGUAGCGGUGGAAUGCGCAGAUAUCAGGAGGAACACCAAUAGCGAAGGCAGCUCGCUGGGACGGUAUUGACGCUGAGGCGCGAAAGCGUGGGGAGCAAACAGGAUUAGAUACCCUGGUAGUCCACGCCGUAAACGAUGGGCACUAGGUGUGGGAGGUGUCGACUCCUCCCGUGCCGACGCUAACGCAUUAAGUGCCCCGCCUGGGGAGUACGGCCGCAAGGCUA
rnacentral:rRNA from 1 species